ensembl:miRNA MIR629 microRNA 629
UCCCUUUCCCAGGGGAGGGGCUGGGUUUACGUUGGGAGAACUUUUACGGUGAACCAGGAGGUUCUCCCAACGUAAGCCCAGCCCCUCCCCUCUGCCU